AACAGCAGGAUCUUUAGCCAGGUGAAGACUAGAAGAGGCUCAGGAUUGUCAUCUCCGUGCAGCGAUGAGCUGGAAGUGGAAGAGGGCAGAGCCUCUUGCUGGUGCUCUGGCAGGGCCCCCGCUCGGUCAAACCAGUGCUCUUUCUCUUUUGGACCUAUGUAUGUUGGUCUUGGUCUCCUAGAGCUGCCUCCACCAGAGGCUUCCAGCAAGGAUUUUUUUUCCUUCUCCUUGCUCUGCUCAUGAUCAUAAAAGUCACACACCCUCUCCUCUACCCUCGAACACUGGAAAAGCUGGAAAAG
rnacentral:lncRNA from 1 species